GCAAGUCGAACGGUGUCUUCNGGACACAGUGGCGGACGGGUGAGUAACGCGUUUGAAUCUGCCUCUAGGUUGGGGACAACAGUUGGAAACGACUGCUAAUACCCGAUGUGCCGUAAGGUAAAAGAUUUAUUGCCUGGAGAGGAGCUCGCGUCUGAUUAGCUAGUUGGUGGGGUAAAAGCCCACCAAGGCAGCGAUCAGUAGCUGGUCUGAGAGGAUGAGCAGCCACACUGGGACUGAGACACGGCCCAGACUCCUACGGGAGGCAGCAGUGGGGAAUUUUCCGCAAUGGGCGAAAGCCUGACGGAGCAAUACCGCGUGAGGGAGGAAGGCCUUUGGGUUGUAAACCUCUUUUCUCAGGGAAGAAGAUCUGACGGUACCUGAGGAAUAAGCAUCGGCUAACUCCGUGCCAGCAGCCGCGGUAAUACGGAGGAUGCAAGCGUUAUCCGGAAUCAUUGGGCGUAAAGCGUCCGCAGGUGGUUUUUCAAGUCUGCUGUUAAAGACUGGAGCUCAACUCCGGAAAGGCAGUGGAAACUGGAAGACUAGAGUUCGGUAGGGGUAGCGGGAAUUCCCAGUGUAGCGGUGAAAUGCGUAGAUAUUGGGAAGAACAUCGGUGGCGAAGGCGCGCUACUGGACCGAAGCUGACACUCAGGGACGAAAGCUAGGGGAGCGAAAGGGAUUAGAUACCCCUGUAGUCCUAGCUGUAAACGAUGGAAACUAGGUGUGGCUUGUAUCGACCCGAGCCGUGCCGUAGCUAACGCGUUAAGUUUCCCGCCUGGGGAGUACGCACGCAAGUGUGAAACUCAAAGGAAUUGACGG
rnacentral:rRNA from 1 species